UACAGAGGUGCCGAGCGUUAGGCGGAAUCACUGGGCUUAAAGCGUGUGUAGGCGGACUUCUAAGUCCCUUGUGAAAUCCCACGGCUCACCCGUGGAACUGCUGGGUAUACUGGUCGUCUUGAGCCACCUAGGGGCCAGCGGAACAAAUGGUGGAGCGGUGAAAUGCGUAGAUAUCAUUUAGAACGCCAACGGUGAAAACAGCUGGCUGGGGGUGUGCUGACGCUGAGACACGAAAGCCAGGGGAGCGAACGGG
rnacentral:rRNA from 1 species